CACUGCAGCCACUCCAGAAAAAUGUGUAUCUAGCUCCAACUUUGGGAAGCUGGCCUUCAUUUGCCAGCCUUAUCUCACACAGGGCUGCCAUUUGGAUGUGUUAUCUGUUGAGUUCUCUCUCAACGAGAGCUGUCCAUCUUUCAAGCCUACUGUAUUUCAUGUUAUCCAUAGGUAUGCGUACAUUCCUUGUAUCAGUGAUGAGUGGAAUCAUCUUUGCAAAAACUUUUGUACUUUUUGUGUUUUGACAGCAGGGUAGGAUUUCUAUCUGCUGUGGUAAGCAGGCCAGGGUUGGGUUAGGUGAAGCAGACAAUUUUUAGGGCACCUUUUCUAGCCUGUUCCUCAUGCCAGGAAGUAAGCAGUGUAGUACUUAAAACAGGCCACUCAGACACCUAGGGGGCUGCUGAAUCUCACUGCUGCUUCAGUCCAGGGACAAGGUGACUCUAUGGCCUGGGCUGCCUGUGUGCAAGAUUGUGGCUACAGCUCCCAGUGUACCUGCACCUGCUGCUUCGUUACCUGCCAUUACCACAGGACUUGGAGAGUCAUCAGAGUCCAGUGGCAAAGCAACAGUCAAGAUAAGUGGCAAUGGCCCGAGAUGCAGUGGAUGACCUUGGCAUCUUUGAUGUAUAACUAAGCUCUAAGUUCUCCACAGAGCCUACUUUUGCUGCCUUUGUGGCCGUUGUUCAACAUCCGCCUAUUCCACCAGGGGAAGUCUUCACAUGCUUGGGGUAGACAUCCCUCUAACUCAUCAACAGGUUUGAAGCCUCUAGGUUAUCCUAAACCUGGUUUAGUCUGUCUGCUGAAACAGUUUACCAGGAUGUGGCUGCUGCACAUGCUACAGCUUCUUGAAGCCACAAUGGUAGGUGGACACCAAAGACAGAUGAGCAGCCCUGAAAAGGGCUUGCUAAGCCCUCACACUGGAGGUACUAGUCCUGAAGAACCUGUACACUCCAUAGUUUUAGAGCACUGAAGGUGAACUCUAUUCCAUGAUGAGAUACAAGUAUAGGACUUUGUGGAGUUGGUCAGUACCCUUCUUAAAAUACAACACCAAGAACUGAACACAAUAUUCCAGAUAUUGUCUAACUAGUAUAAAUUUAAAUUGGAAUGUCAUUUCCUCUCUUCUGAAUGUUUUGCUUUUACUAUUGCAGCCCAAAAUAGAAUUAGCUUUUUUUGAAUGCUAUGUCUUUCUGUUCGCUUAUAUUAAGCCUGUAGUCUGCUUAAAAAAAAAACAAAAAAAAAUCCUCAAAUAUUUUUUACCUAAACUGUUGUCUAACUCAGUGGUCUUCAGUUUGAUCAUUAUAAGUCGAAAUUGUUUGAGUAUGCAGCUCCAAUGCAUGUAUAUUUGUUUAUUUAUAAAAUAUAUAUGUAGCAGUCA